rnacentral:tRNA from 1 species
GCCGAAGUGGUGAAAUGGCAGACACGACGGACUCAAAAUCCGUUGAGGGCAACUUCGUGCGGGUUCAAGUCCCGCCUUCGGCACCA